CUGGCCGCGGCUCUUCGCUGCGGGCGGCGGCCUCGUCCCCACCCCUGCUUCUGCCUCCGAGUUUCUCUUUCUUUUCCCCUUCCGACCUGCUGCCUGGGAGUGGAGUCUGCGCCCGGGCCUGCACCGGGAGGAAGACAGCUGGCGGCGCGUGAAGAGGGACCAUUUGAGGGAGGAUUUUUUCUUCUGAGGACGACUUGCAGGGACUUGGAGAGGAGCCUGACUGUGAGUCCCCGAGGAAAGUCGUCUCCCCCAGCGCAGUGAGUGGAGCUGCCAGACCCGGGACACUUGCUGGAGCUUAAAUUGUCCUGUUUUUUCUUGCGUGUUUUAAGAGGCUUGAUGUCACCGGAUCUGAAAUGCCCGAUGCUGAAAGUGGUCCUGGGUCAAGCGAUUACUCGCCGAAUUUGAAUGAUUUUUAAAACCAGCUUUCUUGAGUGAAUUCGGGGGAAUUAAAAAAAAAUAUGCUGAGGUGAAGGGUCCUUCCUUGGGAGCUGAAAUGCUUGUUGGUAGAUCUUCUGGAAGCCGGCACUGGGGCUGUGAAGGAACGCUGCAGAAUGGGACUGCCCUAAUCUGGAAGCUGCUCUGUUUUUCUCUUCAGUUCCUACCCAGCCUUCCUCAGAGAAACACCAUAUGAUCAGACUGGCAUCUAGGAUGUGUAAAGACUGCAGGACUGAGCCAUGAAGACAGCGAGUAGUUGGGAAUAUGGUGGUAUGCUCCUGUCAGCUCUGGAUGGACCUUAUUUCCGUGAAAUAAACUUGCAAGAAGGAUGUAUAAAAUUAUAUCUAUAAAUCUACUAUUCAGAAGCAGUGAACUUUUUGACCUCUUGGAUUUUAGGUCAAAAAAGCAACUGAAAGUGAAGAACUGGCAUUU